AUGGAUUUUCUGGUGCAGAUUUUCAGCUUCUUGCUAAUCAGUGCCUCAGGAAAAUGUGCUCACCCAGUCUCCAGCAAUCAUGUCUGCAUCUCCAGGGGAAAAGGUCACCAUGACCUGCAGGGCCAGCUCAAGUGUAAGUUCCAGUUACUUGCACUGGUACCAGCAGAAGUCAGGUGCCUCCCCCAAACUCUGGAUUUAUAGCACAUCCAACUUGGCUUCUGGAGUCCCUGCUCGCUUCAGUGGCAGUGGGUCUGGGACCUCUUACUCUCUCACAAUCAGCAGUGUGGAGGCUGAAGAUGCUGCCACUUAUUACUGCCAGCAGUACAGUGGUU